AUACGAGGGGUGCAAGCGUUAAUCGGAAUUACUGGGCGUAAAGCGUUCGUAGGCGGUUUGUUAAGCAAGAUGUGAAAGCCCUGGGCUCAACCUGGGAACUGCAUUUUGAACUGGCAAGCUAGAAUACUGUAGAGGGUGGUGGAAUUUCCAGUGUAGCGGUGAAAUGCGUAGAGAUUGGAAGGAACAUCAGUGGCGAAGGCGGCCACCUGGACAGAUAUUGACGCUGAGGAACGAAAGCGUGGGGAGCGAACAGUAUUAGAUACCCCAGUAGUCC
rnacentral:rRNA from 1 species